rnacentral:lncRNA from 1 species
GGAAUUCUGAAAUAUACAUAAAUUUUUUGAAAAACCAAGUAAGCCUCUUGCCGGCUUCAUGACUCAGGAAAGCCUUUCUCAAGGACCUGGGGUCCUUUUAUUUGAAAUGCAGUCCAGGAAGAUGGUGUCAGAUGGUAUCAGAAUGGGAGCCCUACUUCAGUAGAUGCCUCACUCCCAGUACCAAAGCCACCUCCUGUCAUAAAGAUAAAUUUAUUAUUCCUUUAGAUAAAGAUAAUUAGCUAACACACUUACCAGGUGAAUUUAGGAUGAACGUGUGACAAAUGGUCCUGUUAAAUCCUCUCACUUGAGGACUAGUUAUUGUUUAUCUUGAGAAUAUGUACAUAGUUUACUAAACUUUGGCAGCUCUGUGGCCUUUCACUUUGCAGUAUGAAGAAACAUCUGAUGAGUCAUGUAUGGUAUGGUUACUUAUUUAUUUUAUGUAUGCUAAUGUGUAUAUGUUAAUCCCAACCUCUUAAUAUAUCCCUCCACCUGUUUCCCCUUUGGAAACCUUAAGAAAAGCUUAAAAUAUCCUCUUGACUUAGAGUACUAUUGAAUAAUGUCAUAAUUUUUUUCCAAAUGAUUUAUAACUAACUUUUCUUCCAAAGAAUAAUAAAUGAAACUUAAGCAUAUGCUUCUCAAUUUAAAAAAUCUUCCUUCAUCAAAGAAAUCAAUAUUGUUAAUAAUAGGAAAUGUCACAAAUUCCAGAUUGGCUAAAAAUAAAUCUGUCUAAAGUAAAGAUAAACUCAAAGAAAGGUAAAAUAAUCUAACAUUCAUUUUUAGAUUGUGACGUGUUUUGGAGGUCUAAUUGUUUAUAUGUUGAAUACCCUGUCCAGGCAAAUUAAAAUGGAAGUGAAAUUGUCAUGCUUUGAAAUUGCCUGAGUCACACAAUCAACUGUUCAGUUUUCAAACAUAACGACCUCAGCAAUUAUCUUGCUAAAUCCGGUGCCCCCCAUUUCUUUAUACAUAUUCCAUUUCCAGUCUUUUGCCCUGAAUAGCUGGCUGAAAAUUCUGUUUAGCCUUGGACUAUUGGCAGCCACCCAGCUAAUCUUCAAGACCAUAUAAUGAAAUGAAAAGGGUGGAGACUAAGCAUAUAACACGCCAGCUUCGAACUCAUUCUUUGUUAUUGGGCCUCAUUUCAUGACUGUUAAAUUAUGUUUUUGGAGUUCCCAUCAUGGUGCAGCGGAAAUGAAUCCACUAGGAACCAUAGGGUUGUAGGUUUGAUCCCGGCCUCACUUAGUGGGUUAAGGAUCUGGCGUUGCUGUGAGCUGUGGUGUAGGCUGGCAAGUGUAGCUCCGAUUCUACCCCUAGCCUGGCAACCCCAUAUGCGCAAGUGCGGCCCUAAAAAAGCAAAAAAAAAAAAAAUGAUAUUAGAACCUUAGGGAAUUAACCUCUCCUUUCAUUUAAAGAAUAGUUAGGAAGUCAAAAAGUUUAGAAUAUGUAGAAUUAUUGUACAUUAGUCUCAAUCUAAUGAGCAGUGGUGUAUAGAGUAAUGUUUUAUGUUUUGAAAACUGCCCUCUUUAAUUCAUGGUUGAAAAUUUUGGAACUAACAAUGCAACUGAUUGUUUAUGGAAUUCAAGUCAAGCUUUUACAUAUGGCAUGUAAAUGCCUGAAAUCUUCAUUCCAAUACCAGAAUUAUCCAAUGUAGGUUAUAAAUAAAACCAUGUCUGUGAUACUAGUAGCUAAGUAUUUAAAAUUUAUCCUAAUUUACAAGACUGGAAAUUUCUCUCUGUCUAAUACUUAUGACUGUUUUGAUUUGAAAAAUGACCACAACUUGGAGAAUAGAAAAAUAAAGACAUUUUGCUAGAAGAUAGCUACUUCACUACAAUUUUUUAUGACUAUUCAUACUAGAAAUUUCAUAGCUCACUGAAAUUGAGUUCAAAACCUAUAUAGCGUGCAUUUUAGCAGCACACAUCUCUUCACCGCUAAGUGUUACUGUUUAAAGCCUUACCAGCUGGAAUUAUAGAAAUGUAUUUGGUUAGUUAUUUCUAUGGACAAUAAAUAUAGAUGAUAAAUAAUCAUUGGGUAGCAUCCUGAUAAUUUUAAUUUUUAAUUUUUAAUUUACAUCUUUACUUGCAAAACCCAGAGACUCAUGACCUAAGCUUUUCUUGAGAGAGAUCUGACAAAGAGAACAGCCUCGAUUUUUCUACCAUUGAGACCUGUGUCAACACCAGUGAAAAAUUAGUUGUUUCUUGCUGUGAAAUAAUACAGCUACUUAAACUUGUAUUUCAAAAACUGAGAAAGUAGGUCCGAAAUAAAGAAAUCAACAAAAUGAUUAAAUCUAGAGAAUAUUUUUCAAUUCAAAAGUAAAUGGUAUUAGUAUGCUUCCUUUAGGCAAACUGUUUCCAAUUUCAUGGAAUCCUUCUUAUAACCCUCCCUCUUCCCACCCAGGUCACUUUGGAGUGGUGUUCUUAAUUGAUCUUAUUCUAUUUAUGUUGUUACUUCACAGUGGUGUUAUUCUGAUGACUCCAGAUUUUUCUUAGAACUAUUAUUUUAGGCUUCAUGGAUUUCAAGGACUAUAAUGCUUUAACAGGACAAUAAUUUUAUAAGUUCUAAAGUCGUUGGGUGACACCAGUUUUCAGCAAUUUCCCAGGCAUGCACAGUGUUAUCCUUUUAAUGAAAAAUAAACCCACGUACCGCCAAGUGUAAAAUAUUGGAAAUAACCAUUUCCAAAGUAUAUCAGAGAAGGUUAAAAAUUCACAGUACUUCUUACAACGUUAAUAUUUGACAUUUGAAUUAUUUUUCAGUUUAGUACACUGAUAAACCAAAACAUCUUAAAGUAAGAAAUCUCUUUCUUCAGUUAAAUCAAGUUACUUAGAGUAUACUGGUGUGCUGGGCAAAAAAAUUCACUGUAUCAACAAUCACUUUGAAUAUUUGAACGAAGUCAUGGUCCUCUUCCUUAGAAAUCACUAAAAAAAUGUUCAAAAGGUUGUUAUUUCUUUUUAACUAAAAGUAAACCAUGCUAUUUAGAAAAAAAGAAAUCUGCAGAAUCUACACUAAUGAAUUAAUAACCUGUUUGGAACUUAAAGGAGCACCUGCAUUUAGUGCUCAAUAAAAGUCACCAUCAUCAUCAUUUAUCAUUGUGAGUGGUCACUAGCUGAUACCAAGCAAGACACAGACUCCUGCUUCAAAGGCCAUGACCACACCUCUCUCCAGGGUUCUCCUCUUUUGAGGAAGUAAAGAGUGGAUGUUGGGGUCAGAAAGUCUUUCUCAAGGUGUACUGUAUUUCUGUUGCCUAUUGGCAAUAUAAACAUGGGCAUGUUUUUUAAAUUUGAUGAAUCAGUGUCUAUCAUAUAAAAUAAGACCAAUAAUUGCUACAUCAAAGUUUAGGUGAACAAUGUAGUCUGACUCGCAGUAGGUACAUCUUUAGUGUUCCCUCUUCUCUUGGCAAUAAGUACUCAGCUGAAAUGUUUUUCUGUGCAGUGCUCUCUGUAGGAGGAGAAUUCUAGUAGUACUACAUAUACAUUCUUCGUUUUGUCUUCAGAACAGAACCUCUGAAUGUUAACUGGACACAUUACUUUCCCAGAUAUGCUUCAUUUCCCAGGUAUCUUUGCAGCUAAGUGUGACCAUAUGGGUUCUGACAGAUACAAAAGUGGAAAUGGAAUGUUCAACUUCCUGAAAGUAUGCUAAAUAGGUAGUUUAGCCCACUGCUUCUUUUUUCUAAUUUUUGCAGACUGGGAUGUAGAAGUAAUAACUGGAACAACAGCAGCCAUUUUGAAUCAUGCAGAAAAGGAUCACACCAUAGAAGUGGAUUAUUAGAAGGUGGGAAAAGUGUAUGUGUCUCUAAUGAAACAUUGCUGAGAUUAAGGUAUUCUGUCUGACUCCAGAACAUUAGACUGUAAAAUACCAGGAUAAAAAUUGUGUGCAUUUAGUUAUUUAGUUAUUAUUAAUUUCAGUUUUCUAUCACAAGUAGCAAAAGCUAAUCCUAACUAAUACUACCCCCAAAUAUAUUUGGGAGUGCAAGAAGAAUUAAGAUUUUAUCAUGUACUCUUGAGGUUUAUUAUUUUUUGAUAGGACUUUUGCUAGAGUAUAUUUUUUACAAGGUUUUCGGAAAUACUUGUAGUAAAUUUAUAACAGAAAAAAUUCCUUAUGAGCAGAGAAGAUGGUAUGGCAUGAGGUUAUAAAUAAAAUGGAUCUACUCUUUUACCUAAGCUUUAGGUUUCCUAUAUUCCACGAAGCGAGACUGAAAAAAGUGACUGGCACCUGACCAUCUAUUCUGGUUACUAAAGCUCUACUGGAGAACACCCAAAACAAAGUGGUUUAAAACAAGCAUUUUAGGAGUUCCCGUUGUGGCUCACUGUUUAACGAACCCAACUAGGAUCCAUGAGAAUGUGGAUUCGAUCCUGGCUUCACUUAGUGGGUUAAGGAUCUGGCAUUGCCAUGAGCUGUGGUGUAGGUUGCAGACACGGCUUGGGUCCUGUAUUGCUGUGGCUGUGGUGUAGGCUGGCAGCUGUAUCUCCGAUUUGACCCCUAACCUGGGAACCACCAUAUGCCAUGGGUGCAGCCCUAAAAAGACAAAAAAAUGACAAAACAAAAAACAAAAAAACAGGGAACCCAGAGAUCUGAGUAACCCUGAUCUAGCAGGAUGAUUAUCCCACACAGGUGGCACUGGCCACUGAAACGUGAAUGAACUUUGAAGGGAACUAGCAUGUAAGUAAUUAGCAACUACUUAAAUGUUGAGGAGCUGCUUCUACUCACCUUAUCAUUAUCUGGUUGAUUUCUUUGUAUUGCUUAGUUUUGUAUUAAACCAAAUGAAAGUAACCCCGUGUUCGAGUCUGCGUUCUCCCCAGUCUUCAUACUUUAUGGUCUAGUGUCUUAACUUGGUUUGGAUGAAAAAGAACUCCUUGGACGUAUAAAAACUUGAUAAUAUUGACAUUAUUGGUAUUUCAAGUUCAAUAAAUUUUUAAAUUAUAACCAGACAGAAAUAAGUAUGAAGACAUUCUUGCUUAUUGGGUCACAAAUAAUUUCUCAUAGUAAGAAUUUGUAAACUGAGAGGUUCAUAUUAGGAAAAAAACUUGCGGUUUGUUAAAAUUCUGUGUCUCAAUUUGCUGGUUAUGUAACAAAGGGAAAAUUCUACCCAACUUGGGGAGGUUUGGUGAGAAUUAAGAAUAUGAGUGUAAACAGCUUCUGGCACAGAGCAGGCAUUUAGUCAGUGCUGGCUUCCUCUUCCCCAUGUGGCCUCUCAGAGACUCUGUCGCAUGCCUGGACAGUGUCUCAUUUUCUAUAGUGAGCCUGCAACCUGGAAAUUCAAUCUCUGAUUCACUGAAAAGGAAAUUAUAACAUGACUCAAGAUCACCAUUGUUCCCAAAGCUCACCCUUUCUAAAAAUUAACAAAAGAUUUAAUACUUAUAUCUCUAAGUCAUCUUUUAUCAUCAAAAAAUAUGCUUUUCCAGGGUAUUAUCCAAAUAAUCAUUUCAGUGAGAAAUAAAGAGGUUGUGGCCUAGAGAGCUUCAAACUUGAAAAAACCAAUUUACAUUUCUUACAGGAAUGCUAAUAAUUGUGCUUUAUAGCCAUGAUUGUAGACUUAUAAAUUUAACCCUCUUUGAGCAUAAGAAGUUAGCUGUUCACAAUUAGCUUUAGCCCAUAAGAGUUGGCCUUAUUUCUUUGCUCGAAUAGAUCAGUCACUAGCACUUCACACAUAUUUUAUCAUCAUCAAAGAGCUUUAUAACAGAGCACAGAGGCACUCCAGUGGAGAAGCUAUGCGUGUGCCUUGUGCUUUUCCUUAGUCCAGGACAGUUACAGUCUGCAAAGUUUGGGAUAAUAGAGAUGGGUUCCUACCCGGUGGAUUUCAUUACACAGCCUUAUGCAAACUCGUGCCUUGGGAAACAUCAGUUUUAAACUGAGAUAUCAGAAUGCAUUUGGCUGCAACUCUUAAAAUACCUAAGAGUGAUUUUAAAAAUAAGAAUAUUUUUGUUACUAAACAAAAAAUGAGAAAUAGAAAGUUCCAGGAUUGGUCCAGCAAAGCAAAGUUUUCAGAAAGGACUCUGGCUAUUUCUACCUUUUGUUCUGCCACUCUCAGUGUGCCCGUGGUGCCUUCUUUUGCUGCACCAGGUGCUACCAUCUUACAGGGGGCUGUCCAAAACAGAGAGGAAGAGGCAGAUUUUCUUUUUGACUUUUGUUAGCAAGGUCAUGUCCCCAGAAUCCCCUUCUGGACUUACUUCAUUUCAUUGACCAGAACUUGGUCACAUGGCCACUCUGACUGCAAAGGAAGAAGGAGAUGGAGUAUCUGGUGUUUUACCCUCUGUCAUGGGGUGGGGGAGCCGACUCUGCUAAUGAAUAUGAGUGAGAAAAGGAGUGACUAUGGGCUACAUAAGUAAGAUCUGUUGUUGUUCCUGAUAACUGGUAAUUGUUAUGAAGUUACAACUCAGAAACAAAAAUUUUAGAGGAAGAGUUAAAUAAAAAUAAUAAAAUAAUGAUAUGAGAGGCUGGCAUUUGUUGUGUGCUUACUCUUUGCCAAGCAUGGUGCUAAAUGAUUUGCAUUUAUCAUCUUUUAACUUUCAAAAUCAGCCUAUGAAAGGAGAAUUAUUAUACCCUUUUUAUAAAUGAGGAAACUAAGAUUUAGAGAGAUAAAGUAAUUUUUCCAAGGAUGUGGAACUGUUGAGAGUGGGGGCAGUAUUUGAAGGCUGCCACUCUGACUCUAGAGUUUGUUUUUUUAUCAAAUGCAAAGCAUAAUUUUUGGGUCCCAGCUAUGUUCUAAGCAGUGCAUCUUACUAUACCAUGGGUCUUAGCAACACACAAGGCAAUUGGUUUUUCAUUGAAAUCACAGUCUUAAGGGGUGAAUGAUAAAGUGAUUAUACAUGUGAAUAUUAUCACAGGGGAUAAAGUAUUUAGAGGCUGCAAUGAAGAGAUUUCACCUAUUUUUAGAAAAACCAAUGGUUGUGUGUGUGUGUGUGUGUGUGUGUGUGUGUGUGUGUGUGUGUGUACACAGAGAGAGAGAUUUUAAGGACUUGCCUGCUCAACUGUAGGAGUUUGCAAGUUCGAAUUCUGCAGGACAGGCAAGGAGUUCCCACAAGAACUGAUAAUGCAGUCUCAAAUUUGAAGGCUGUUUUGAAGCAGAAUUUCUUCUUUUUUAGGGGAUCUCAGUCUUUUAAGACCUUCAACUGAUUGGAUGAGGUUUACUCAUAUUUUAGAGGGUAAUCUGCUUCAUUCAAAGUUUAUUUAUUCAAAUGUUAGUCACAU